rnacentral:rRNA from 1 species
AGUGAACGCUGGCGGUAGGCCUAACACAUGCGAGUCGAACGGCAGCACAGUAAGAGCUUGCUCUUACGGGUGGCGAGUGGCGGACGGGUGAGGAAUACAUCGGAAUCUACUUUUUCGUGGGGGAUAACGUAGGGAAACUUACGCUAAUACCGCAUACGACCUACGGGUGAAAGCAGGGGAUCUUCGGACCUUGCGCGAUUGAAUGAGCCGAUGUCGGAUUAGCUAGUUGGCGGGGUAAAGGCCCACCAAGGCGACGAUCCGUAGCUGGUCUGAGAGGAUGAUCAGCCACACUGGAACUGAGACACGGUCCAGACUCCUACGGGAGGCAGCAGUGGGGAAUAUUGGACAAUGGGCGCAAGCCUGAUCCAGCCAUACCGCGUGGGUGAAGAAGGCCUUCGGGUUGUAAAGCCCUUUUGUUGGGAAAGAAAAGCAGCAGGUUAAUACCCCGCUGUUCUGACAGUACCCAAAGAAUAAGCACCGGCUAACUUCGUG